UAAAUCAGUUUGCUAGACACGUAUAUUCUAUCUAUAUUGAUCAUGUGUAAGGUCUUGAUAAUGUGCAUAAUUUUAGGUGGCUUAAGGGUAGCUUACAUUUUGGACCUUUGGAAGAUACCUAUAUGGGUAAUAUUAGCAACUUGAAUCAGUAGUCAAAACAGGUUAGAGCUUUCAAUACUUUGUCCUUAAUAUACUAAGGCUGUUGGGAUUUGUCCAAUUUUUAUUUUGGUGAAGUUGAUUCUUUUAACCAGAAACAUUUAUUUUUAUACCGUCAGAUAUCUCUCAUUUCGUUUAUAUGUACAUUGGUUCAAGUUUGUUUUUGUGAAGCACUUCCUUCAAAUAUCCUUUAGUUUGUUUUGUGAAAGUUUAAAGUUGAUAGAUUCCAAAUUUGUGACUGCAUUUGGAGGUAUUGACUGUUUUUAUAUGUAAAAGAGGAAAGGGAGAAUACAAAAUUGUGUUUCCCCUGCUCUUCUUAAAACUACUCUUUCAACAGAAAUAGUAGUUGAAGUUUAUUUCUUUGGUUUCAUCUGUUCUACGUACAUUAUAAUUUCCAAAGAAAGUAAUGAAAUUUAGCUUACGAUAUUUACUGAUUUUGCAACUUUUUUUUAUUAACUGGAUAAUUCAAGAGUUUGUUGUACAUUAUCUCAAAUGAUCUCUCCAAAAGCUGAUUUGUAAAUGUGAAUUAUCAUUCUCAGUAGCAGAGUUGCACUUCCUCAGUUGCGGUGAGGAGUAGAUGAUACCCAAUAUUUUGUCG
rnacentral:lncRNA from 1 species